UACGUAGGGUGCGAGCGUUAAUCGGAAUUACUGGGCGUAAAGCGUGCGCAGGCGGUUCGUUAAGUCAGAUGUGAAAGCCCCGGGCUCAACCUGGGAACUGCAUUGGUGACUGGCAGGCUUUGAGUGUGGCAGAGGGAGGUAGAAUUCCACGUGUAGCAGUGAAAUGCGUAGAGAUGUGGAGGAAUACCGAUGGCGAAGGCAGCCUCCUGGGCCAACACUGACGCUCAUGCACGAAAGCGUGGGGAGCAAACAGG
rnacentral:rRNA from 1 species